AAUAGGUGAAUAAACCAAGUCAUGAUUGUUCAUUAAGGAGAAUUAUAAGAAAUAAAGACAGGGAUUCAUUAAAUGAAAACAAAUAAAGUCAUCAUAUCAUUAUCUCCUGAAACUCUCUUUUUUCUUUAAAUACAAGCUUCCUCUCUCUCACUCUAUUUAUGUGCUUCAUUCUUCAUCUUUCUCCUUAACAUGAAAAGAAAAAAAGACCACAAAAACCUUCUAAGAAAAAGAUAUUCAUAGUUUGAAACAAGAGAACACCAUGAAGGUGUUUAUCAAAGUUUUUUUUUUGAAUUCAAAUUUAUCCCAAACCCACAAACUUUCAACACUAACAUUCUCUCAAAUCUUCCCCUCAACAUAAAUAUGCAAGCAAAUCAAACAGACAACAAAUAUACAUGGAGAUCACGCUCAAUCCCAAUUUGAAACCUAACUAGUAAGUCGCAACAAAAUCAAAGCACAAAUGUUAAAUCGAAACAGUACAGUUGAUGAAGCAAGCAUAAAAGGGUGUUCAGAUCAAGAUAAAGACUUCGCCGGAGUUUUGAAAGUCUAGCGACACUACGGCAGCCACGAAAGUUACCUCAGGAAAAAAUGCUAACACUGCUAUUAUGUAAUCACAACAGCAACAGGAUAAAGUUUAUGUCCAAAAGAGAAGAGUUGCCUCUAUGCAUAGAGGACAAAAAUAAGGUCGGCAAGUUGGAAGGGAUCUUCACAAAGAAACUAAAUCUCUUGUUAUUGUAAAAAAAAUCAUGAACUUGUAAUACUUACUGAUGCAUUGAAAUUCUCUUUCUAAUUCGUCUCUCAAAAAAAUAUUGUAGACAUACUUUACAUAAUGUACUUUUGUAUGCAUUUGAAUUUUCUUUUUGAAA